CCUCCCGAAUCAGUUGUGGACAAAUAAAAUGGACAUGAGCAUCAAUACCUCCAGCUGUUAAUAUCAGACCUUCACCAGCUAUAGCCUCUGUACCAGCACCGACAAUCAGAUUCUUAAAGGACAAUAAGUUUUAUUGAUAAACUUGGAUUACUUGAAAUUUUCGAUUAGGAUUGUGGGAACAUGGGUACAGAUAUGUCAUUAUCUUUCAAACAACUGUUUUCCUACUACUCAAGCUUAUGCCAUGAAUCUUAUUAACGUGAUAUUCAUAUCCAUAUUAUUCGGAAUG
rnacentral:sRNA from 1 species